rnacentral:rRNA from 1 species
AGAAUCAACGCUGGCGGCGUGCCUAACACAUGCAAGUCGAACGAGAAAGUGGAGCAAUCCAUGAGUAAAGUGGCGCACGGGUGAGUAACACGUGACUAACCUACCCUUGAGUGGGGAAUAACCUAGGGAAACCUGGGCUAAUACCGCAUAACACCUACGGGUCAAAGGAGCAAUUCGCUUAAGGAGGGGGUCGCGGCAGAUUAGCUAGUUGGCGGGGUAAUGGCCCACCAAGGCAGUGAUCUGUAUCCGGCCUGAGAGGGCGCACGGACACACUGGAACUGAAACACGGUCCAGACUCCUACGGGAGGCAGCAGUGGGGAAUUUUGCGCAAUGGGGGAAACCCUGACGCAGCAACGCCGCGUGGAGGAUGAAGUCCCUUGGGACGUAAACUCCGUUUCGACCGGGAAGAUUAUGACGGUACCGGAAGAAGAAGCCCGGCUAACUUCGCGCCAGCAGCCGC